UUUUUGAGCACUCGUGCACAGUUUGCAGCUGAACUUGCAGACAGUCUCUGCUGCCCCUCUCUCAGCCUUGCUCAGCCCUGAUAACCAAAUCCAUCCUGCAGAGCUGAGCUCUUUUUCCACCAUCACACACUACAUUAAUUCACUCAACACAUUUGUUUGCAGCUGUCUUCCAUCACCAGCCCCACACCCAGCUGGCUCCUCAGAGCAGAGGGAGAACUUCAUUUUCCACUAAUGAAGGUAUAAAGCAGGACACAAGCCCCAGCCAGCCUGAUUGUCCUGCUGAGGUCACCACUUAACCAUUGUGACAUCACCACCUGGUGAAGCCCCAACGGAGGCAAAGUCACUCAGGAAUGAUUUUGUUCUUUCACGAGGAGGAAGGAGAGGCACAGAGCUGAGAAACCACAGCUGUGCAGAAGGCCAGAUAUGGACUCCCAGAUGGUGCAGAACUGGAUGUGCCAAACCAGGAAAUGCCCCAGAUGCUUGGCUGCACACUACCCAUUGUAUCUGCCCCACCUCAGCGUGGUGGGAUCCUUCCUUUGGCAGGGAGCCGUGCAGAGGGCCUGUGAGCCACCAGCCUUCUCCAGCCACGUGCACAGGAGACACAUCCUUGCUCUGACUCUUAGAAGAACAAAAACCAACGAGGUCAAACACUGAAGGUGCAGAAUCCACACGCAGAGCUCCUCCGGCCCCUACAGGAAUCGAAGGCAAAUUCCUACAACAGCAAAACGAACGAAUCUAAGUUGCACGGAUAGCUUGAGAGCCAGGGUUAUAAAACAAAUUCAAGCAUUAAAUAUUCUUACCAAAGGC